rnacentral:rRNA from 1 species
CCAAUAGCGUAUAUUAAAGUUGUUGCAGUUAAAAAGCUCGUAGUUGAACCUUAGGCCCGUGCGGGCGGUCCGUCCUCUGGGCGAGCACUGCUCCGUCGCGGGUCUCACCUUCUGGCGAGCGUGGAUGCCAUUUAUUUGGUGUCCGCGGGAACCAGGACCUUUACCUUGAAAAAAUUAGAGUGCUCAAAGCGGGCUCCGAC